UGGGCAUGUGCCCUGACCAGGAAUCAAACUGUGACUUCCUGGUUCAUAGAUCCACGCUUAACCACUGAGUCACACCAGCUGGGCCCCACUCCUGACUUGGUAGACUGAGGAAACAGUCUCAGAAGGCUUAGAGUCUUAUCCUACGUCACAUAAGAACAUAUUUGGGGGCAGAUUGAACAUUCUAGCAGAGCAGUUAAGCACGCUGGACUUUAGAGUCUCAAAGAGCUGAUUUCAAACUUCAAAUCUUCUAUUUAUCAAUUGUGUGACAUUGGUUAAUUUAUUUAACCUUUCCUAGAUCAUUUUCCUAUCUAAAAAAUGAGGAUCUUAAUAAUAUCUGCUUCACAGGAUUGUUGUGAGGACUAAAUGAGAGCAUCCAUUCA